GACGAACGCUGGCGGCGUGCUUAACACAUGCAAGUCGAACGGAAAGGCCCUGCUUUUGUGGGGUGCUCGAGUGGCGAACGGGUGAGUAACACGUGAGUAACCUGCCCUUGACUUUGGGAUAACUUCAGGAAACUGGGGCUAAUACCCGAUAGGAGCUCCUGCUGCACGGUGGUGGUUGGAAAGUUUCGGCGGUUGGGGAUGGACUCGCGGCGUAUCAGCUUGUUGGUGGGGUAGUGGCUUACCAAGGCUUUGACGGGUAGCCGGCCUGAGCGGGUGACCGGCCACAUUGGGACUGAGAUACGGCCCAGACUGCUACGGGAGGCAGCAGUGGGGAAUAUUGCACAAUGGGCGGAAGCCUGAUGCAGCAACGCCGCGUGCGGGAUGACGGCCUUCGGGUUGUAAACCGCUUUCGCAUGUGACGAAGCGUGAGUGACGGUAAUGGGUAAAGAAGCACCGGCUAACUACGUG
rnacentral:rRNA from 1 species